rnacentral:rRNA from 1 species
UACGAAGGGGGCUAGCGUUGCUCGGAAUCACUGGGCGUAAAGGGUGCGUAGGCGGGUCUUUAAGUCAGGGGUGAAAUCCUGGAGCUCAACUCCAGAACUGCCCUUGAUACUGAGGGUCUUGAGUAUGGGAGAGGUGAGUGGAACUGCGAGUGUAGAGGUGAAAUUCGUAGAUAUUCGCAAGAACACCAGUGGCGAAGGCGGCUCACUGGCCCAUUACUGACGCUGAGGCACGAAAGCGUGGGGAGCAGACAGG